UAGCGUAGGGGGCAAGCGUUGUCCGGAAUCAUUGGCGUAAAGAGCGUGUAGGCGGUUCGCAAAGUCUGGUGUGAAAACUUGAGGCUCAACCUCAAGCUGUCACUGGAUACUGGCGGACUUGAGUCCGGAAGAGGAGAGUGGAAUUCCUGGUGUAGCGGUGGAAUGCGCAGAUAUCAGGAGGAACACCUAUGGCGAAGGCAGCUCUCUGGUACGUGACUGACGCUGAGACGCGAAAGCGUGGGGAGCGAACAGG
rnacentral:rRNA from 1 species